AUUAUAAAUUUUAUUUUUUAUAAAAAUUUAUUUGGUUUUUGGAUAAGAAAGUUUUUGUUUUAUUACUGUUUGGAAAUAAUUUUUUUUAUUAUAGUUUAUUAGUAUCGUGAGAGAAUUUUUGUCAAUAAGAAAAAGAAUAAUUUAUUUUUUGUACCUUGUGUAUCAGGGUUUAUCAAAAUUAACUAUUAAAAUAGUAUUCCCGAAUUUAGAAGAGCUAGACUUGUAUACAUAUUAUUGUUGAAUAAAUAUUUAAAAUACAGGGCUAGUAAUGAAACGUUAUUCGUUUCUAAAUAUAUCUGGUUUUUUAAGAAAUGAAUUUAAUUCACCUGACUGUUUUCAAGGUUUUAAAUUUUUAGUUGUUUGAUUUGGUCAAGGAAUAUUUUAAGGGAUGAGCUUUAAUUUAAAUUUUUAAAAAGAAAUAAAUUAUUUUGGAUUUGUAGGAUUAGAAGUUUCCAUAAUAAAGAGAGUGUUAUAACUGAUCUAGAGUUAGAAAUUAUUUAUAUUUAUUUUAAGUUUUUUAUUAGAAUUUAUUUUAGAAUUUAAAUUAGUUAGUAAUAAUGAUAGAAUUAGUAUAGGUUUUUGUAUAUUUAAUUUUGGUUAAUAGAUUAAGCAAAGGAACUCGGCAAAGAAUUUUUCACCUGUUUAUUAAAAACAUGGCCUUUUGUUUAAAAUUUAAGGUCUAUCCUGCCCACUGAGUAGUUAAAUGGCUGCGGUAACCUGACCGUGCAAAGGUAGCAUAAUCACUAGUUUUUUAAUUGAAAGCUGGAAUGAAUGGUUUGAUGAGAAAAUAACUGUCUCUGUUUAAAUAUUAGAAUUUUAUCUUUAAGUAAAAAAGCUUAAAUGGUAUUGAAAGACGAGAAGACCCUAUAGAGUUUUAUAGAUAAAAAUAUUUAAAUUUUUAGUAUUAUCGCUUUAAGCAUUGGUUUCUAUUUGGUUGGGGAGAUCGAAAAAUUAAUUAAACUUUUUUUAUUCUAGGAACAUAAAUUUAUGAAUUAUUGAUCCACUAUUUGUGAUUAUAAGAAAAAAUUACCUUAGGGAUAACAGCGUAAUCCUUUUUUAGAGUUCUAAUCGAAAGAAGGGUUUGCGACCUCGAUGUUGGAUUAAAAUUAAUUUUCGGUGUAGGAGCUGAAAAUCUUAGGUCUGUUCGACCUUUAAAAUUUUACAUGAUCUGAGUUUAAACCGGCGUGAGCCAGGUUGGUUUCUAUCUUCAAUUUGUUAAAAUAUUUUAGUACGAAAGGACCAAGUAUUUGGUAAAUUACUUUAAUAAUUGAAUAUUAAU
rnacentral:rRNA from 1 species